rnacentral:rRNA from 1 species
AACGAACGCUGGCGGCAGGCCUAACACAUGCAAGUCGAGCGCCCAGCAAUGGGAGCGGCAGACGGGUGAGUAACGCGUGGGAACCUUCCCGAUAGUACGGAAUAGCCCAGGGAAACUUGGAGUAAUACCGUAUACGCCCGCAAGGGGAAAGAUUUAUCGCUAUCGGAUGGGCCCGCGUAGGAUUAGCUAGUUGGUGGGGUAAUGGCUCACCAAGGCGACGAUCCUUAGCUGGUUUGAGAGAAUGACCAGCCACACUGGGACUGAGACACGGCCCAGACACCUACGGGAGGCAGCAGUGGGGAAUCUUGGACAAUGGGCGCAAGCCUGAUCCAGCCAUGCCGCGUGAGUGACGAAGGUCUUCGGAUUGUAAAGAUCUUUCAGGUGGGAAGAUAAUGACUGUACCACCAGAAGAAGCCCCGGCUAACUCCGUGCCAGCCGCCGCCGUAA